AUUUUAUAUUUGCCGAAAGGUUUUGCUUAACGCAAAUUAAUAGGGAAUCGUGUGUAAAUCACGGGCUGUCGCGCAACUGUAAAGUACAAAACGGUUUUAUCGUAGUAAACCACUGCUGCAUUUAGCGGGAAGGGCGAUAAAAUGUACAAGCCAGGAGACCUGCCUUACUAAAUAAUGACUA
rnacentral:ncRNA from 2 species